GUCGAGAAUCUUUCACAAUGGGGGCAACCCUGAUGGAGCGACGCCGCGUGGAGGAUAAGGUCUUCGGAUUGUAAACUCCUGUCAUGCGUGAACAAGGUUGCUUGGUUAAUACCUGGGCAAAUUGAUGGUAACGCAAGAGGAAGAGACGGCUAACUCUGUGCCAGCAGCCGCGGUAAUACAGAGGUCUCAAGCGUUGUUCGGAAUCACUGGGCGUAAAGGGUGCGUAGGUGGCGUGGUAAGUCAGAUGUGAAAGCCCGGGGCUCAACCUCGGAACUGCAUCCGAUACUGCCAUGCUAGAGUACUGGAGAGGUGACUAGAAUUCUCGGUGUAGCAGUGAAAUGCGUAGAUAUCGAGAGGAAUACCAAAGGCGUAGGCAGGUCACUGGACAGUUACUGACACUGAGGCACGAAGGCCAGGGGAGCGAACGGGAUUAGUUACCCGGGUAGUCC
rnacentral:rRNA from 1 species